AGGAGAGGCAGAGAGAGAGGGAAAGAGAGAGGAAGAUGGACAGGAACAAGGAGAGGAAGAGGGAGAGGGAGAGAGAAAGGGAGAGGGAAAAGGAAAGAAUUGUUCGGACAUGAACUUGUUACAUAGCCAAGGAUAGCCCUGAAUGUCUGAUCAUCUGACCUCCACCUUCCAAGUUCUGGUGUUGCAUGCACCACUAGGCACUACCAGGUUGAUGUAGUUCUGGGAUUUGACCUCAGAAUUCCUAUUUGGCAGGUGUUGCAGUCUGAAUGAAAAUGUCCCCAUAAACUCAUAGGGAAUGGUAUUAUUGGAGGUGUGGCCUUGUUGGAAUAAAUGUGUCACUGAUACUUUGAAGUUUCAGAAGCUCAAGCUUCUUGCUGUUGAUGAUGAUCCAUAUGUAGAACCUUCUACUCCUUCUGCAGCACCAGGUCUUCCUGAAUGACACUGUGCUCUCCAUCAAGAAGAUAAAUGAACUAAACUUCUGAACUGUAGUGUGGUGAUCCUCAUCUCUGGGAAGUCCCAAUGUUUAUGGUAAGCUCAAUGUGAACAAUUAUUGUGUAGUGCCAAGAAGGCCAGAACUCCUGAACUUUCAACCUUCCUGAGUAGCUUGGCCUCCUUAGAACUGCAAAGUAUUUAAUACUCCAGAACAUCCCCCCAAAUAACUAAUUAUUUGGUGAAUCCAAUGACAUGCUGAUGACUGGGACAACUUGGUAUUGUUUGGACUGCUCCAGAAGUUCAUAUUGAAACCAAAACAAGUCUACAAUGCUUCUAUUAAUGAUAUACCCUGUAAGGAUGACUAGUUUAUGUUUGGUUCACAUAUUGGCUUCAGGAAAAAUCUAUCAGGGAAAAGUUGCUGAUUCCACAAAAGAUUAUCUUGGAAGAUGUGUUUCUCCAUACAUUUCGAGUGCUCAUUUAGCUUUCUUCAAGCUUGAAACUUGUUAUUCUAGCUCAUAAUGGGAUAACCAUUAAGCCUGUACCCAAAUCCAAUCAAUUUCUGACUUGCUGGAAGCUCUUAAUUUGUCCUUUAAAGAAGGUUUCAAAGUUCAAGAAUUUGGACAGUCUUUAACAAAAGUUUGAAAGUAAAACUUUUGGCUUUCAUCAGAAUUGGGAAAAGAAAAUGUAGAAACAGGUUUGAUUAUACUAGAUACCAACUUUCUAAAGUCAAGAUGCUCUCUGAUAAGU
rnacentral:lncRNA from 1 species